rnacentral:rRNA from 1 species
UACGGAGGGUGCAAACGUUGCUCGGAAUCAUUGGGCGUCAAGCUCCCGUAGGCGGCGCGUUAAGUCGGGUGUGAAAGCCCUGGGCUCAACCCAGGAAGUGCAUUCGAAACUGGCGCGCUUGAAUAUGGAAGAGGGUCGCGGAAUUCCCGGUGUAGAGGUGAAAUUCGUAGAUAUCGGGAGGAACACCAGUGGCGAAGGCGGCGACCUGGGCCAAUAUUGACGCUGAGGUGCGAAAGCGUGGGGAGCGAACAGG